rnacentral:rRNA from 1 species
CAGUAGCCACGGUAAAACAGAGGGUGCGAGCGUUAAUCGGAUUUACUGGGCGUAAAGCGUGCGUAGGCGGCUUCUUAAGUCGGAUGUGAAAUCCCUGAGCUUAACUUAGGAAUUGCAUUCGAUACUGGGAAGCUAGAGUAUGGGAGAGGAUGGUAGAAUUCCAGGUGUAGCGGUGAAAUGCGUAGAGAUCUGGAGGAAUACCGAUGGCGAAGGCAGCCAUCUGGCCUAAUACUGACGCUGAGGUACGAAAGCAUGGGGAGCAAACAGGAUUAGAUACCCGCGUAGUCCCUGUCUCUUAUAA